rnacentral:rRNA from 1 species
CCUACGGGAGGCAGCAGUGGGGAAUAUUGGGCAAUGGUCGCAAGCCUGACCCAGCAACGCCGCGUGAAGGAAGAAGGCUUUCGGGUUGUAAACUUCUUUUCUCAGGGACGAACAAAGUGUCGGUACCUUAGUAAUGAGCCACCGCUAACUACGUGCCAGCAGCCGCGGUAAUACGUAGGUGGCAAGCGUUAUCCGGAUUUAUUGGGUGUAAAGGGCGUGUAGGCGGGAGCUUAAGUCGGAUGUGAAAACUCAGGGCUCAACCCUGGGCCUGCAUUGGAAACUGUGUUGCUUGAGUGCUGGGGAGGCAAGCGGAAUUCCGUGUGUAGCGGUGAAAUGCGUAGAUAUACGGAGGAACACCAGUGGCGAAGGCGGAUUGCUGGACAGUAACUGACGCUGAGGCGCGAAAGCGUGGGGAGCAAACAGGAUUAGAUACCCCUGUAGUC